rnacentral:rRNA from 1 species
UGCCAGCAGCCGCGGUAAUACGAAGGGUGCUAGCGUUGUUCGGAAUUACUGGGCGUAAAGAGCAUGUAGGCGGAUGAAUUAGUUAGGGGUGAAAUCCCGGGGCUCAACCCCGGAACUGCCUCUAAUACUGCUAGUCUUGAGUUCGAGAGAGGUGAGUGGAAUUCCGAGUGUAGAGGUGAAAUUCGUAGAUAUUCGGAAGAACACCAGUGGCGAAGGCGACUCACUGGCACAUUUCUGACGCUGAGGCGCGAAAGCGUGGGGAGCAAACAGGAUUAGAUA